AUUGAACGCUGGCGGCAGGCCUAACACAUGCAAGUCGAGCGGAGCAGGGGACGGGGGAGUAAGGGCUAGGAAUCUGGCUGGGAGUGGGGGAUAACGUCCAGAAAUGGGCGCUAAAACCAAAUACUAUCAGAUGAACAUAGGUCGGAUUAGCUAGUAGGUGGGGUAAAGGCAUACCAAGGCGAAGAUCCGUAACUGGUCUGGGAGGAUGAUCAGUCACACUGGAACUGAGACACGGCCCAGACUCCUACGGGAGGCAGCAGUGGGGAAUAUUGCACAAUGGGCGAAAGCCUGAUCCAGCCAUGCCGCGUGUGUGAAGAAGGUCUUCGGAUUGUAAAGCACUUUAAGUUGGGAGGCGUUACCAACAGAAGAAGCACCGGCUAACUUCGUGCCAGCAGCCGCGGUAAUUC
rnacentral:rRNA from 1 species